AUACAAUGAACUAAUGCAACACUAAGCUAAGGUCAUAACAAAUAAUUUUAGCUUAUUCUUUCUUUUGAUCAAACAAUGACUUAUGUUAAUCUCGCUACUUUGGCUGUCUUCAUGCUCACCAUAUUCUUAAUCGUCCAGACGAAGAACGUGGAAGCAGGGAAAUGUCCAUCCGCGGAGAAAUAAUGGAGAGAGAAACUGCUGCGAGAGAAAUUGGAGAGAGAGGUCAAACUUCUCCUGUUUGAUAUGCCAAGAAACAAGGAAGAGAGAAAGUAUAAUGGUUGGACCCACCACCUUUACCUUUCUUCCCUGAUGUGCGAAGAUAUACGGGAGAAAGCUCAUUCCUAUUUUCAUCCAUAAAUUUGGUUUUUUUUUACGAUAAGAAUGAAUAUUGGAUGGAUUGAGUCUUGGAG